CCUUUGCCUGGUGGUCUUGCUAAUGGCUGCUGCAGCUCCAGCUACUGUAUCUGCAAUCCAGCAGACAUUUGAGUACAGCCUCCAAGCAGAGCUGCCUCCAGUGGACGCCACUGAACCCAGGCGGAGAGCAGAGGGACACCAGCUCCGGUCGUGACUGGAAGCCGAGAGGACAAAGAGCGGCUGCAGAUCACGGAAAUUAAAGUGUUCAGAGGAGCGAGGAAGACAGCAGGCCAGCAGCCGCCCGCAGAUGCCCAUGUUGCGGGCUUCUGUCCACCUGAAAGCCAGUCCUGCCAGAGAGCGGCUGUGAUCCAAGAGGGAAACGGAGCCAGAGCCCACAGUGGAGCUGCUCGGUCAGGGCAGCCUGUGAGCCUUCUGACCCUGUCUGACCCCAGCCCUUUCCUGGCCAGCCUCCUCUCUGGGCCUCCAGGCUGGGCCUCCGUUCCCCAGUUGCAGAAUGGGGUGACCACGUGGGCAGCGUCAUACACACAGCUGAGCACUGCAGCUUGAGUCUGCCCGCCCUGCUGAUGCCAGCCAGAGCUGCUGCUGGGCUGCCCGGCAGCGCCAAGGCCCUGGGACCCACCUCCAGACGGCGCCGGGCUCCAGUCUGUUUGCUCAACAGAGAGCCUGGCAGGCACAGUUCCCCUGGUUCCAGCCCCUUUUUGAACCAGAUUCAUUUGAUUUCUCAUCUUUAUUUUGGCAGGAAAAAAAUGUAAUUUCUAAUUUAAAAAUGUAGAAAGCAUCCUCCUCGUCAACAUGCGCCCAGCUCAGAUGGUGUUUGGGAAAUUAGUUGUGUCACUCACCAGCACCGGGCCCAGCAGUGGGGAUGGCCUCUCCCUCC
rnacentral:lncRNA from 1 species